UGCAGAAUGACAUUCGUAAAAAUCCUACUUUUAGAUCACAGUUUCACGAGAUGUGUGCUAAAGUUGGAGUGGAUCCUCUAGCUACUGGGGAUUGGUGAUUUCUAUUAUGAACUAGCGCCUCAAUGAUUGUCCGUCGUUGAAUGAGAUUCUUCCCGAGUCGAUAUUCAUAGCUAUCUUUAAGUUGGCGUUUGACGAGCAUGAAGUUCAUGGUGGUGGAGAGGUUAGAGGAGGUACUCCCGUAGGGAGCAGCAGUACGAUAAGACGUUCUAAUGCAGACGACGUUGAUAACAAGGAUGCCAACAACGACGAUGACGGGGAGUGAGUGAGACUUGUUCUUAUAUUUAUGUAGUUUUCAAUUGUGUGAAGACAUAUUAUGACUUUUGAAUUUUACCUAUAUGUAAUAUAUUUGUGAUUUUAUUGCGUAGUGAAUGAAUAUUAUUUGAGCAUGCGAGAUGUAUUGUGAUUGUGAUUAUAUGAUGAGUAUUGUUCGAUAUUGUGGAUUGACGGAUGAAAUUGGAUGAGUAUUCAUUU